UACGGGGGGGGCAAGCGUUGUUCGGAAUUACUGGGCGUAAAGGGCUGGUAGGCGGCCAACUAAGUCCGACGUGAAAUCCCAAGGCUUAACCUUGGAACUGCGUCGGAUACUGGAUGGCUUGAAUUCGGGAGAGGGAUGCGGAAUUCCAGGUGUAGCGGUGAAAUGCGUAGAUAUCUGGAGGAACACCGGUGGCGAAGGCGGCAUCCUGGACCGAGAUUGACGCUGAGGCACGAAGGCCAGGGGAGCAAACGGG
rnacentral:rRNA from 1 species